CUAUAAGAUACAGGAAACUCUGCACUGAUUUGAGUUCUAUGUCAUUAUGCCUUUGUCAUUCUUACAGCAUAUUUGUCAAAAGUACCCAAGAGACCAUGGAUCUUGCAUGAUGAAUUAUGAACCAAUAUGUGGUCAAGAUGGUGUGACCUAUACCAAUAUCUGCUUUUUUUGCCGGUCAUAUUGGAAUGAAUAUCAAGGAAAAAUGGGUUUUAAGAAGUAUGGUCACUGCUUUCAAAAAGGUAAUGAGCCAUGGUUUUGAAAUUACUCUUUGAGCCAACCCAUUCCAUGAACUGACUGGAUCAAUACCUUCUCUUCAACUGGACUUGUUUGUUCAUUGAGGAUUGUAUGCUUAACAAAUUUCUUUAAAAUCAUAUUCAUAAGAAAUUUUUUCUGAUUAUUCUUUAUUUUCCAAACCCUAAGAUAUCAAGUCUUUUAAUUUUCUCUCCUGCCUGUCCAGACAUAUCUAAUUAAAAUUCUAUUUCUGCCCUAAAGCACAACUCAUAAGAGGUAAAAUUUUCUCCCUAUGGAGAUAAACUUAUGCAAAUACAAUGAGACAUGUGUGAUUUCCAAAAGAUAUGGG
rnacentral:lncRNA from 1 species